GGGAAGGUGGCUCAGUGGUAGAGUGCUUGCCUUGCAUGCAUGACGCCCUGGGUUCGAUUCCUCACCACCACA
rnacentral:tRNA from 1 species